CCGUUCGCAAGGGAGCUUCCUAUGCGAAAACUCAUGGCCGCUAUCAUAGCGAGCCUGAUAGGGCUGACCGCGCUGUCCGUGUCGACCACGGCUGUCGCAUGCGGUGAUGCUGGCUACUCUUCCGAUGGCAAGUAAUCCCGCCGCCCGAAGGCGCCGCGUGCGCAAGGAAAAAAGGCCUUCAUCCGACGAUGAAGGCCUUUUACU
rnacentral:ncRNA from 1 species